rnacentral:pre_miRNA from 1 species
AAUAAAUCAAUCUUUUACUUUUUACUUAUAAUAUUUGACUCUUUAUUUUAUUUUAAAAAAAUUAUGAUUAAUAUUUUUAUUUUUAUUAGAUGAUAAAUCGUAAAUAGUACUUUACGUGUGACUAAUUUUUUUUAUAAUUUCUUGAAAAUUUUUUAAAUAAAACAGAUGGUCAAACGCUGGACACGGAAACCAAAG